UGCAAGUCGAGCGGUAACGAUAUAGCUUGCUACUUUGCUGACGAGCGGCGGACGGGUGAGUAGUGCUUGGCAAUACGUUUUUUGGUGGGGGACAACAUGUGGAAACGACUGCUAAUACCGCAUGAUGUCUAGGGACCAAAGUGGGGGACCUUCGGGCCUCACGCCAAAAGAUUAGCCCAUGUGGGAUUAGCUAGUUGGUAGGGUAAUGGCUUACCAAGGCGACGAUCCCUCUGUGGUUUGAGAGGAUGAUCAGGCACACUGGGACUGACACACGGCCCAAACUCCUACGGGAGGCAGCAGUGGGGAAUAUUGCACAAUGGGCGCAAGCCUGAUGCACCCAUGCCGCGUGUGUGAAUAAGGCCUUCAGGUUGUAUAGCACUUUCAGUAAGGAUGAAAGGGUAGUCUUUAAUAAAAGCUAUCUGUGACGUUACUUACAGAAGAAGCACCGGCUAACUCCGUGCCAGCAUCCGCGGUAAUACGGAGGGUGCGAGCGUUAAUCGGAAUUACUGGGCGUUAAGCGUACGCAGGCGGUUUGUUACUGUGAGAUGUGAAAGCCCCGGGCUCAACCUGGAAACUGCAUUUCGAACUGGCAAACUAUAGUGUGAUAGAGGGUGGUACAAUUUCAGGUGUAACGGUGAAAUGCGUAGACAUCUGAAGGAAUACCGAUGGACAAUGCGGCCACCUGGCUCGACACUGACGCUCAUGUACGAAAGCGUGGGGAGCAAACAGGAUUAGAUACCCUGGUAGUCCACGCCGUAAACGAUGUCUACUAGAAGCUCGGAGCCUCAGUUCUGUUUUUCAAAGCUAACGCAUUAACUAGACCGCCUGGGGAGUACGGCCGCAAGGUUAAAACUCAAAUGAAUUGACGGGGGCCCGCACAAGCGGUGGAGCAUGUGGUUUAUUUCGGUGCAUCGCGUAAACACCUUACCUACACUUGACAUACAGACCACUUACGACAGAUGGCUUGGUGCCUUCGGGAAAC
rnacentral:rRNA from 1 species